rnacentral:rRNA from 1 species
UACGGAGGGUGCGAGCGUUGUCCGGAAUCAUUGGGCGUAAAGGGCGCGUAGGUGGCCUGCUAAGCGUGCGGUGAAAGUCGGGGGCUCAACCCCCGAUCGGCCGUGCGAACUGGGAGGCUUGAGCACUGUAGAGGCAGGCGGAAUUCCGGGUGUAGCGGUGGAAUGCGUAGAGAUCCGGAAGAACACCGGUGGCGAAGGCGGCCUGCUGGGCAGUUUUGCUGACACUGAGGCGCGACAGCGUGGGGAGCAACAGGAUUGA